UGUGAGCUCGAUGAGUAGGGCGGGACACGUGGUAUCCUGUCUGAAUAUGGGGGGACCAUCCUCCAAGGCUAAAUACUCCUGACUGACCGAUAGUGAACCAGUACCGUGAGGGAAAGGCGAAAAGAACCCCGGCGAGGGGAGUGAAAAAGAACCUGAAACCGUGUACGUACAAGCAGUGGGAGCCUCUUUUAUGGGGUGACUGCGUACCUUUUGUAUAAUGGGUCAGCGACUUAUAUUCUGUAGCAAGGUUAACCGAAUAGGGGAGCCGAAGGGAAACCGAGUCUUAACUGGGCGUUAAGUUGCAGGGUAUAGACCCGAAACCCGGUGAUCUAGCCAUGGGCAGGUUGAAGGUUGGGUAACACUAACUGGAGGACCGAACCGACUAAUGUUGAAAAAUUAGCGGAUGACUUGUGGCUGGGGGUGAAAGGCCAAUCAAACCGGGAGAUAGCUGGUUCUCCCCGAAAGCUAUUUAGGUAGCGCCUCGUGAAUUCAUCUCCGGGGGUAGAGCACUGUUUCGGCAAGGGGGUCAUCCCGACUUACCAACCCGAUGCAAACUGCGAAUACCGGAGAAUGUUAUCACGGGAGACACACGGCGGGUGCUAACGUCCGUCGUGAAGAGGGAAACAACCCAGACCGCCAGCUAAGGUCCCAAAGUCAUGGUUAAGUGGGAAACGAUGUGGGAAGGCCCAGACAGCCAGGAUGUUGGCUUAGAAGCAGCCAUCAUUUAAAGAAAGCGUAAUAGCUCACUGGUCGAGUCGGCCUGCGCGGAAGAUGUAACGGGGCUAAACCAUGCACCGAAGCUGCGGCAGCGACACUAUGUGUUGUUGGGUAGGGGAGCGUUCUGUAAGCCUGUGAAGGUGUACUGUGAGGUAUGCUGGAGGUAUCAGAAGUGCGAAUGCUGACAUAAGUAACGAUAAAGCGGGUGAAAAGCCCGCUCGCCGGAAGACCAAGGGUUCCUGUCCAACGUUAAUCGGGGCAGGGUGAGUCGACCCCUAAGGCGAGGCCGAAAGGCGUAGUCGAUGGGAAACAGGUUAAUAUUCCUGUACUUGGUGUUACUGCGAAGGGGGGACGGAGAAGGCUAUGUUGGCCGGGCGACGGUUGUCCCGGUUUAAGCGUGUAGGCUGGUUUUCCAGGCAAAUCCGGAAAAUCAAGGCUGAGGCGUGAUGACGAGGCACUACGGUGCUGAAGCAACAAAUGCCCUGCUUCCAGGAAAAGCCUCUAAGCAUCAGGUAACAUCAAAUCGUACCCCAAACCGACACAGGUGGUCAGGUAGAGAAUACCAAGGCGCUUGAGAGAACUCGGGUGAAGGAACUAGGCAAAAUGGUGCCGUAACUUCGGGAGAAGGCACGCUGAUAUGUAGGUGAAGCGACUUGCUCGUGGAGCUGAAAUCAGUCGAAGAUACCAGCUGGCUGCAACUGUUUAUUAAAAACACAGCACUGUGCAAACACGAAAGUGGACGUAUACGGUGUGACGCCUGCCCGGUGCCGGAAGGUUAAUUGAUGGGGUCAGCGCAAGCGAAGCUCUUGAUCGAAGCCCCGGUAAACGGCGGCCGUAACUAUAACGGUCCUAAGGUAGCGAAAUUCCUUGUCGGGUAAGUUCCGACCUGCACGAAUGGCGUAAUGAUGGCCAGGCUGUCUCCACCCGAGACUCAGUGAAAUUGAACUCGCUGUGAAGAUGCAGUGUACCCGCGGCAAGACGGAAAGACCCCGUGAACCUUUACUAUAGCUUGACACUGAACAUUGAGCCUUGAUGUGUAGGAUAGGUGGGAGGCUUUGAAGUGUGGACGCCAGUCUGCAUGGAGCCGACCUUGAAAUACCACCCUUUAAUGUUUGAUGUUCUAACGUUGACCCGUGAUCCGGGUUGCGGACAGUGUCUGGUGGGUAGUUUGACUGGGGCGGUCUCCUCCUAAAGAGUAACGGAGGAGCACGAAGGUUGGCUAAUCCUGGUCGGACAUCAGGAGGUUAGUGCAAUGGCAUAAGCCAGCUUGACUGCGAGCGUGACGGCGCGAGCAGGUGCGAAAGCAGGUCAUAGUGAUCCGGUGGUUCUGAAUGGAAGGGCCAUCGCUCAACGGAUAAAAGGUACUCCGGGGAUAACAGGCUGAUACCGCCCAAGAGUUCAUAUCGACGGCGGUGUUUGGCACCUCGAUGUCGGCUCAUCACAUCCUGGGGCUGAAGUAGGUCCCAAGGGUAUGGCUGUUCGCCAUUUAAAGUGGUACGCGAGCUGGGUUUAGAACGUCGUGAGACAGUUCGGUCCCUAUCUGCCGUGGGCGCUGGAGAACUGAGGGGGGCUGCUCCUAGUACGAGAGGACCGGAGUGGACGCAUCACUGGUGUUCGGGUUGUCAUGCCAAUGGCACUGCCCGGUAGCUAAAUGCGGAAGAGAUAAGUGCUGAAAGCAUCUAAGCACGAAACUUGCCCCGAGAUGAGUUCUCCCUGACUCCUUGAGAGUCCUGAAGGAACGUUGAAGACGACGACGUUGAUAGGCCGGGUGUGUAAGCGCAGCGAUGCGUUGAGCUAACCGGUACUAAUGAACCGUGAGGCUUAACCUU
rnacentral:rRNA from 1 species